GUGGCAGAGCUGUCACAGCACCCAGGCGAGCUGAUGGUCAGGGCUGCGUACCUCCCCACCUCUGCACCAUCAGUGGUGGCUUGCUCUGGGGGAGGGAAGAGCAGCAGGCCCUGGGACCAGUGCCAUCCAGCACAUCACCUGAGCUGGCACCGCGGGACACACUCAGCUUUAUCUGCAGUGAUUUCCUCUCUGCAAACAUUUAUUUAGGCUGAAGAUUAAGAAAAGAAAAAGAAGAUUAAAAAAAUGAAAAAGAAAAGUAGUAAUGUGUCCCACGUGAUGCCUGAUGGUCGCCCCGGACUCACCUGCACAAGACUGACUACACUGUGUGUCCUGCACCUGCUGCUCUUCCUGGGCUGCUUCUCCCAGCGGAUGGCCCUGUCCCCUGUGCAGGGACUGUGCCUGAACCUCUCCAGUCUGAGUCCCAUCACUUCGUCUUGGCCUAACUCCUACUCCAGGACUCUCCUGUCUCUGCAUCACCCCCACCUCUCAGUCUGUUGAUCUGUGACCAUGGCUGCAGCCUCCCUGGCUUUCCUACCCUGAAAAGCUGUCCCCCACCCUCAGUUCAGCCUUGGAGGCGCUCCUCCAGGAAGCCUGAGACUGCCACUCAGAGCAUGUCAUUCCUCUGCUCAGUGACAGCUUCUCCCCCCAGCCGAGCCCUCCUGGCCCUUUACUCUCAUCUCUAACUUCAUUUCCAGCAUCCCUUUUUAUGCUUCCACUAUUGUCCCCAAGUGCCACCUGAGUCUCCUGUUCCUGAGAGCUCCACUGUUUUAUCUUUCCUGAGGCUGUGACCUCAGCCUGGAAGACCCCCCAGAGAUGCCCUUUUAACUCUGCCCCAUCUCUAGGACCAGCUCGGAUAUCACCCCUCCCAUUGGCCCAGCCUCCCUUUGCUUUUCUCCAGUGGAAAAUAGGCUGCUCCCCUGGGAAUUCCCAAAGGACUUUAAGCAACCCCCCCCCCACUGUUGCAGUAUUGUCUCAGCUCUGACCAGCGCCAUGCCAUCCUGACUACCCCUGUUACAGUCUGAGCAACUGAGAGUAAGAGGCAGGUGCUAGUCUGUUCCAUCCGUGCCCCUGAGGUACCUGGGCAGAAGAGGAGCUUUGGAACCUGAUAGGGACCCGUGGAAUUCCAGGCUGCACCACUUGGAAACUGUGUGCCUUGGGUUCAUUUCUGAACCACUCUGAGCUUCGGGUUCCUCAUCUGUAAAGAAGGAUGACGAUACUGAUUUCCCAGCACCACUUGGAGUGUGGCAGGGGCAAGCAGUGGGCGCUCGCCUGGCACAGGGAAGGGGCUAAAUGAAUACCUCCUGCUCCUUCCAAAUCAGAGUUUCGAAUAUGUGGAAAGAGAAACGGAAUGAAUGGAAUGAAUCAGACGCUACUCACAGCUGUUUCCAGGAGUGCCCGUCUCCUGGGCAGGGGGGAAAACAAGGACCAAAGGAGAUUUCUUCUCUCUUCCUGCCCCCCCAAACUUAAAAAAAUAUUUUUUAGUGGUCCAUGGAGCUUUAUUUUAUUUUUAUUUAUUUAUAAGUGGUGCUGAGGAUCAAACCCAGUGCCUCACACAGGCUAGGCAAGUGCUCUACCACUGAGCCACAACCCCAGCCCCCGGCUUUUUUACUUUGAAGAUUUUCUUUAAUGAACAUCUUGUAUUUUUUAAGUUAGAAAGCAUUUUUGUAAGCAAAUGUCUGUGCAUAUACACACAUGCCGAUGAACAUUUAGGUGUGUCACACGCACGCAUGCUCAUUCAUAUUGAGAAGAGCUGGCCACUCUCGAGCAUUUGCACCCAAAGACGGCUAAUUAAGCCUGCUGUCCUCUCUCUGAACAGUCCCGAGGAUCCCCGGAUGCCCCACGGAAAUGCCCCUCCAUUUCCACAUCCCGUUUCCUUUCUUUCAUCUCCAGAACAACUCCUUCGAGGAAAAGCUUUAAUUGCUGUUUUCCAGCAGGGUUUGCAAGGGCACGCAGGCCGUGUUCAACCAUUUGUCUCUUCUGCUGGAGGGAGUGAUGAGUGGGACACAUUAAAGUGGGGUCUCCUCCUCGGGUCACAUCACAGCAGCAGCCCUGCUCCCCCCGAGGUGGGGGAGCCUCAGGCCAAGGACCUGGGAAAUGCAGAGGCCACCCCAGGUCCCUAGAGGUUGAAGAGAUGCCGAAUCAGGGCAGAUGCCGCAGAAGGAAGGCCAGGUGCUUUCCCCUCUGGACCUGGCUCUGCUGUGUCCUUACUUUGUGACUGUGGGGGAUGCCUUGCUUUGUCUUUCUGGCACCCAGCUUGGUUCUUGGGAGUACAGGAAUGCAGCUCCUAUUUCCCCGUGUUCUGCAAGGUUAACUGAAGGUGAGAAAACAGAGGCCCAGGGAGCUCAGAGAGCAUCUGUCUCUCCUGCGUCCCGCGCAGACAAGGACUCUAAGAUUAAGAGAGGCAGUUCACCCAUAGACACCAGCUAUGGAGUGGAGGAGCAGGGAGGAAACCCAGCUGUUUGGUGCCGCACUCUAUCCCUCAGUGCUGGGAGGUCUGAGCCGAGUUCAAUACAGACAACCCCCUUCCCUGUGCAGAAGAGAUGGCUGGAACAUCUAAGGAUCACGAAGGCCAGGGGGAAAUAUCAAGAGUUGGGAACAAGAGUUCCCACAUCACUAUAAGAAGUCCUGAAAAAUGCUGGAAAAGUUCACCUUUUCUAACCACAAUUCUGCAUCCACAGGAACUUCAGCUGGAACAUGGCCAAUAUGUUCCCUUCAGGCCUGUGGGAAAUGAAUUCCUUUUCCUUUCUGGGCAGAUUUUGGCAGAGGAGAGACAGGCAGAAUUUUCUAGUUGAUGAAGUGUGUUAGAAAGUUAAGACAAGGGCUCUCCUUUACUGAGCAGGAAGCUAUCAUGGAAAAGAAUGGCUUCUUAAUGUGAGAUGCCAAGCUACAAAAUAGGAGAUAAUUCUGAAAAAUUAUUUGAGCUGAGGUGCAUGUCCUGAAAAUUCAAUUUGAAAUAAUGUAGGAAUUGUCAUAUAGGCUGUGCCGAUAGGACCUGGCCCUUUGUCAUCUGGGAAAGUGCCAGAAACAGGAAUGUCACUGUUAGCUUCCUCCACUUCUGCCCUGAAGCAGGUCACCAGACCCUCAUGUGAGAGCUGUCCUCCUUGUGCACCAAAGAAAGGAGCAUCCUGUCCCUGAAGACCCAGGGUCACAGAGAAUGAUCUAGACUUGCUAAGUCCCCAGCGGAUCGCCUCUUGACCAUACCCUCUUUGACGUGUUGUAUCUCUUCACAACUACACACCCUUUAUCACACUUGGCAGAAAAACGCCCAAGCUCACCUGUUUCCUUAGGUCUUUAUUUUCCUUUUGAAGGCUCCCAUGUCACACUAAACUUACAGCAAGUGAGUUUAUGUGCUGCUCUCUUGUUAACCUGUCUUUUGUUAUAGUGACCUCAGUUAUGAUCUUAGCGAUGAGUGAGGAAAAGAUAUUUUUCCCACCUUGCAAUGAAAGGACAAAAGAAAUUGAAAUGUAAAGGAUAAGGUUUGUAAAGUUUUUAAGUUGCAUUCAGAACCUGAAAUUCAUGUGGCAGUAAAACAAUUCCCGGAACUGCCCAUUAAAUGUAUGUUGAAAUCUCCCCUGACUAUCUGGUUGUUCUGUAAAAACAACCCACCCGCCCAGAAAGAAACCGUGCAGUCCAGCACGUGUACACCUCAGGGCUUAAACCAAUCAGUUUAAAUAUAUACCCAUCUUAGUACUGACCAAUCACCCCCACCCGACCUGUUCCCGCCAGUGAAUGUGCUAAUCAUGUUUUAGAGUUGUUAUUUGAUUUUCCCGCGGUAUGUGAUGAUUUGCUAAGGGAUGCUAUGAUGUAUGUAAAGUCCCUGCCCUCUCCAAAGAAUGUGUAUAAACUCUGCUUAAGUUGUUCUCGGGGCUCUUUGUUCUCUGCUCCUCUGAAGUGAGCUCUGAGCCCCAGCAUGCUGGACCCCCAGUAAACCCUUUGCUGUUGCAUGA